AGAGCGAUAGCACUGCAUUCUGUUCCAUUCCGAUGCACUUCGUCUUGCCGUUUUUGAACAUGAAAACUGACAACAUCUUCUAAGUGAGUUAUGGGUGUAGAUGGUGUGCCAGUCUCAAUGCUAGUGGAUAUGUAGCCACACCAGGGGCUGUACCACUAUGACAACACUGCCAAUCAACCAAGAAGAGGCAUCGUGUUUUUGUGUAUUGGGUAACAAUGCAGAUGCUCACAGCCACUGUUGAAAUGAAGUAAAAAAAAAUCCCAGUUUUUCCAUGCGGUCUCGGGCUUUUGCACACCACGGUGAACCACACACCUCAGAGGAUUAGCAAACACUCCUUCGCCAACUUAAGGAAUGCCCAACUGAAGACGGACAAACAACAAUAAAUAACACUAACUAACCAUAAUUUAACCACUGCAAUAAACUGAAACAUCAGUGAUACGGUCAUUUGCAUGUUUAACCCAUUACAAAGAAAAAACAACAACAAAUAAAAUAUAUUACACAA